AUUAGAGUUUGAUCAUGGCUCAGGAUGAACGCUAGCGGCAGGCUUAACACAUGCAAGUCGAGGGGUAUAGUUCUUCGGAAUUAGAGACCGGCGCACGGGUGCGUAACGCGUAUGCAAUCUACCUUUCACAGAGGGAUAGCCCAGAGAAAUUUGGAUUAAUACCUCAUAGUAUAACAUGACCGCAUGGUCGAGUUAUUAAAGUCACAACGGUGAAAGAUGAGCAUGCGUCCCAUUAGCUAGUUGGUAAGGUAACGGCUUACCAAGGCAACGAUGGGUAGGGGUCCUGAGAGGGAGAUCCCCCACACUGGUACUGAGACACGGACCAGACUCCUACGGGAGGCAGCAGUGAGGAAUAUUGGACAAUGGGCGCAAGCCUGAUCCAGCCAUGCCGCGUGCAGGAUGACGGUCCUAUGGAUUGUAAACUGCUUUUAUACAGGAAGAAACAACUCUACGUGUAGAGUCUUGACGGUACUGUAAGAAUAAGGAUCGGCUAACUCCGUGCCAGCAGCCGCGGUAAUACGGAGGAUCCAAGCGUUAUCCGGAAUCAUUGGGUUUAAAGGGUCCGUAGGCGGUCAGAUAAGUCAGUGGUGAAAGCCCAUCGCUCAACGGUGGAACGGCCAUUGAUACUGUCUGACUUGAAUUAUUAGGAAGUAACUAGAAUAUGUAGUGUAGCGGUGAAAUGCUUAGAGAUUACAUGGAAUACCAAUUGCGAAGGCAGGUUACUACUAAUGGGUUGACGCUGAUGGACGAAAGCGUGGGUAGCGAGCAGGAUUAGAUACCCUGGUAGUCCACGCCGUAAACGAUGGAUACUAGCUGUUGGGAGCAAUCUCAGUGGCUAAGCGAAAGUGAUAAGUAUCCCACCUGGGGAGUACGUUCGCAAGAAUGAAACUCAAAGGAAUUGACGGGGGCCCGCACAAGCGGUGGAGCAUGUGGUUUAAUUCGAUGAUACGCGAGGAACCUUACCAAGGCUUAAAUGUAGAUUGACCGGUUUGGAAACAGACUUUUCGCAAGACAAUUUACAAGGUGCUGCAUGGUUGUCGUCAGCUCGUGCCGUGAGGUGUCAGGUUAAGUCCUAUAACGAGCGCAACCCCUGUUGUUAGUUGCCAGCGAGUCAUGUCGGGAACUCUAACAAGACUGCCAGUGCAAACUGUGAGGAAGGUGGGGAUGACGUCAAAUCAUCACGGCCCUUACGCCUUGGGCUACACACGUGCUACAAUGGCCGGUACAGAGAGCAGCCACUGGGCGACCAGGAGCGAAUCUAUAAAACCGGUCACAGUUCGGAUCGGAGUCUGCAACUCGACUCCGUGAAGCUGGAAUCGCAAGUAAUCGGAUAUCAGCCAUGAUCCGGUGAAUACGUUCCCGGGCCUUGUACACACCGCCCGUCAAGCCAUGGAAGCUGGGGGUGCCUGAAGUCGGUGACCGCAAGGAGCUGCCUAGGGUAAAACUGGUAACUAGGGCUAAGUCGUAACAAGGUACCAAU
rnacentral:rRNA from 1 species